AUGCUCACUUCGGCAGCACAUAUACUAAAAAUGGAACAAUACACAGAAGAUUAGCAUGACCCCUACAUAAAAAGUGUGAAGACAGCCUGGGCAAGAUUGAUAGAUUGU
ensembl:snRNA U6 U6 spliceosomal RNA